rnacentral:sRNA from 1 species
GCUGGGUGUGAUAGCACACACCUGAAAUCCCAGCUACUUGGGAGGCUGAGGCAGGAAGGUCACUUAUCCUGAGCAACUUACCUAGAUCCUGUCUCAA